GGGCUGUGGGGCAGGCAAUGCUAUGGGGCAGGGAGUGCUGUGCUAUGGGGCAGGCGAUGCUAUGGGGCUGACAAUGCUAUGGGGCAGGCGAUGCUAUGGGGCUGUGGGGCAGGUGAUGCUAUGGGGCUGUGGGGCAGGCAAUGCUAUGGGGCUGGGAGUGCUGAGCUAUGGGGCAGGAGAUGCUAUGGGGCUGGGAGUGCUAUGGGGCUGUGGGGCAGGCAAUGCUAUGGGGCAGGCGAUGCUAUGGGGCUGUGGGGCAGACGAUGGUAUGGAACAGGCAGUGCUAUGGGGCAGGCAAUGCUAUGGGGCAGGGAGUGCUGUGCUAUGGGGCAGGCGAUGCUAUGGGGCAGGCGAUGCUAUGGGGCUGUGGGGCAGGCAAUGCUAUGGGGCAGGCGAUGCUAUGGGGCUGAUGAUGCUAUGGGGCAGGGAGUGCUGUGCUAUGGGGCAGGCGAUGCUAUGGGGCUGACAAUGCUAUGGGGCAGGCGAUGCUAUGGGGCUGUGGGGCAGGUGAUGCUAUGGGGCUGUGGGGCAGGCAAUGCUAUGGGGCAGGGAGUGCUGAGCUAUGGGGCAGGAGAUGCUAUGGGGCAGGCGAUGCUAUGGGGCAGGGAGUGCUGUGCUAUGGGGCAGGCGAUGCUAUGGGGCUGACAAUGCUAUGGGGCAGGCGAUGCUAUGGGGCUGUGGGGCAGGUGAUGCUAUGGGGCUGUGGGGCAGGUAAUGCUAUGGGGCAGGGAGUGCUGUGCUAUGGGGCAGGCGAUGCUAUGGGGCUGUGGGGCAGGCAAUGCUAUGGGGCUGGGAGUGCUGUGCUAUGGGGCAGGCGAUGCUAUGGUGCUGUGGGUCGCGAUGUGGGGCAGCUGCUGACCUUCCCCCCCCCCCCCCCCAUUCCCGCCCCAUAGCCCUGGAGGGCGUCCUGGCGCGCGCCCCACACCGGCCGUGGGGCACAGAGGUGGCAGUGCGCCGCGCCCCCCCGUGGGACCCCACAGCGCUGCUGCUUUUGGGGGCCCCCCCCGAAGCGCUGCGGCCCCUUCUGCCCCACAACUCCAUCUGCAGCUGCCACCCUAUGGGGGGGGGAUCCGUCCUACUGAUGGCGCUGCCCGUGGGGGACAAAGCGCGGGCGGCGCCGUCCGGGAGGUCGUGGAGCGCCGAGACGGAACCGCCAUCGUCGUCUUCCGGGACCCCCACGUGGUGCCGCGGGUGCUGCGGAGAACCCAUCGGCUGCAGGACGUGGAGCUGCGCGUGGCGCCCUAUUACCCGGCCCUGGACCCAAACGGAACCGCUCCGGUACCGCACGGGGACACACGCACGGAGCCGGCACCGCCUGCUCACCGAUACCUUGGUACCGAACCGCGGGGUGUGGAUCCGGUACUGGGGGCUGUGGAUCCGGAACCGGGGGGUGAUAGAGAUAUGGAUCCGGUACCGGGGGGUGUGGAUUUGGUACCGGG
ensembl:lncRNA